rnacentral:rRNA from 1 species
GGGGGGGGGGGGGGGGGGGGGUGGGGCGGGGGGGGCGGGCGGGGAGGCGGGGGGCGUGCUCCUCUGACGUUAGCGGCGGACGGGUGAGUAACACGUGGAUACCCUACCUAUAAGGCUGGGAUAACUUCGGGAGACCGGAGCUCAUGCCGUGUAAUAUAUUGAACCGCAUGGUUCAAUCGUGAAAGCCGGUUUUGCUUUCACUUAUAGAUGGAUCCGCGCCGCAUUAGCUAGUUGGUAAGGUAACUGCUUACCAAGGCGACGAUGCUUAGCCGACCUGAGAGGGUGAUCGGCCAAACUGGAACUGAGACACGGUCCAGACUCCUACGGGAGGCAGCAGUAGGGAAUCUUCCGCAAUGGGCGAAAGCCUGACGGAGCAACGCCGCGUGAGUGAUGAAGGUCUUCGGAUCGUAAAACUCUGUUAUCAGGGAAGAACAAAUGUGUAAGUAACUAUGCACGUCUUGACGGUACCUAAUCAGAAAGCCACGGCUAACUACGUG